UUGAGCCGGAUGAGAGGAAACUAUCAUGUCCGGUUCUGAGGGGGGAGAGGGGCUGUGAGGCUCUUCUCUCCUACCCAAC
rfam:Leptolyngbya sp. Heron Island J, whole genome shotgun sequence.